AUGGAGAGUCAGUCUCCUCACAGAGACGACAGCAAGAGUCAGAGACAGAGACGACAAGAGAAGGAGAAAGGGAACCACCAAGGCGAGAAUAAGCUCAUCCUUUGACUCAUCAUGUGGACUGUUCUUGUCCUCUUGACAGCUGGAUACAAAGCAGCGGCCUAUGACAACAAACUCAAUUCUGUGUUGGGGAAGUUCUGUGAUGAAGGCAACGUCGUGUCAGGGAUAGAAAGCGCCUACAAUGACGACAACAAAGAUCGCCAGUGGACGAUCGGAUGCAGGCCUCUUCUACCCGUUUCCUACUGCGUCUGGUCUGGGUUUU